rnacentral:rRNA from 2 species
AACGAACGCUGGCGGCAGGCCUAACACAUGCAAGUCGAACGAGAAGCCACCUUCGGGUGGUGGAAAGUGGCAGACGGGUGAGUAACGCGUGGGAACGUGCCUUUCGGUUCGGAAUAACCCAGGGAAACUUGGGCUAAUACCGGAUACGCCCUUCGGGGGAAAGAUUCAUUGCCGAAAGAUCGGCCCGCGUCGGAUUAGCUAGUUGGUGGGGUAAAAGCCUACCAAGGCGACGAUCCGUAGCUGGUCUGAGAGGAUGACCAGCCACACUGGGACUGAGACACGGCCCAGACUCCUACGGGAGGCAGCAGUGGGGAAUAUUGGACAAUGGGCGAAAGCCUGAUCCAGCCAUGCCGCGUGGGUGAAGAAGGCCCUAGGGUUGUAAACCCCUUUCAGCGGGGAAGAUAAUGACGGUACCCGC